rnacentral:rRNA from 1 species
UGCCAGCAGCCGCGGUAAUACGUGUGGGGCAAGCGUUGUUCGGAAUUACUGGGCUUAAAGGGUUCGUAGGCGGCCACUUAAGUCAGGGGUGAAAUCCCACGGCCCAACCGUGGAACGGCCUCUGAUACUGAGUGGCUUGAGUAUAUUAGAGGUAAAUAGCAGAUUUAGAGUAAAGGUGGAAUUUUUGGAUUCUAAAGGUACUGCCGGUGGCGAAGGCGAUUUGCUAUAGUAUACUGACGUUGAGGGACGAAAGGAUGGGUAGCAAACAGGAUUAGAUA